AACUUUAAUUUUAAUAGAAAUGUUUUUUAGAUCGCAUUUUAAAAGUUUAAAAACGAAAAACGGCGAUAGAAAUGUUUUUUUAGAUCGCAUUUUUAAAGUUUAAAAACUAAAAACGGCGAUAGAAAUGUUUUUUUAGAUCGCAUUUUAAAAGUUUAAAACGAAAAACGGCGAUAGAAAUGUUUUUUUAGAUCGCAUUUUAAAAGUUUAAAAAUCGAAAAACGGCGAUAGAAAUGUUUUUUUAAAUCGCAUUUUAAAAGUUUAAAUCGAAAAACCACUAUAGAAAAGCUUUUUUAGAUUGCUUUUUAAAAGUUUUAAAACGAAAAACGGCGAUAGAAAUGUUUUUUUUAGAUCGCAUUUUUUUUAAAAAACCAUAGCAGCAUCUAAUUAUAAAAACUCAAACGAAUUUUAUUUUAAAACUCAUAUACGAAUUUAAUACAAUGUCAAACGAUUUUCUUUUUUUUUAAACCAUACGCAUCUAAUUAAAAUCUCAUACGAAUUUUUUGUUAAACUCGUACGAAUUUAACUCAUACGAAUUUAAUUUAAAACUUAUACGAAUUUAAUUUAAAACUCAUACAAAUUUUUUUAAACUCAUACGAAUUUAAUUUAAAACUCAUACGAAUUUAAUUUAAAACUCAUACGAAUUUAAUUUAAAACUCAUACGAAUUUAAUUAAAAACUCAUACGAAUUUUAUACGAUUUUAGAAAAAUUUCAUACGAAUUUAAUUACUGUAUGGCAAAAGAAAAUUCGUAUAGCAUAUACGAAUUUUUUUGAUACGAAUUGCUACGAAUUUUGUAGAUGACCCCUAACUCUAGUAUAGCAGGAUCACGCAUCCAAGGUGCUGGCGCUGGAGUGAUUGUGUUUCAAAUAAGUGGAACAUGUCUGUCAAUACAUUCUUUCGUUAAAUCGUUAAAAAUGGAGAGUUUUUCUUCUGAAGCAUAGACGACAUUAAAUCUUUCACAUACAAAUUUGCAUCAAAUGUUUUAAUAUUACGGAUAUACCUAUAGCACUUUUUGAACCAGUCUGGUCUAACGUUAAUAAAGAUAUACGUUCCAUCGUGGUCACUCACUUCGUCUGCCGGUAACACGUCUUGUACUUUAACUUUGCUAGGGUUAUUUGUCCAAAUAUGGUCAAUACACGCUUUUUGUCUUGUAGGUUUCGUUAUAUGUUGAUGUAAGUCCUAAGACUGCAACAUGUCCAAGUACUGUUGACUUAUAUUUUGUUCUUUAAAUAAGUCAAUGUUCAUAUCUCCAGUCAAGAUUAUUUGUCCCUGUCACAUGUAACUUACUUUACUUAGUAGACUAUUACCUUUUCUAACCACAGUUCUUGUUCGUGAAUCAAAAACUUGGGUUGGUAUAUUACUCCAACUAAUAUAUUGCUCUGACUGUUUCGACCUUUGACCUUAAGUGCUUUUUUAAUAAAUCUGAGCCAGCUUAGACUUAAAAACGUUUGGAUUUCUUUUUGUGAGUCCAGUGAAUUGUUACCUUUAAACUCCUUUUUUAAUUUUACAUUCUUUAGUACCUACAAUGCUAGAAAACUAUAACACCAAGUUAACUAUGUAACAUGUCAAAACUUCGCAAAAUAUUCUUGCCAUGUCUGUAUAAUGCAUAACUGCUUUUGUGAAUUGAUAUUAUUUUUUUCAAGGUAGUAACUCAUAAGCAUCUGCUAUUGUGCUGGUAUUUAAAAGCCGAAGCCUACCAGUUAAGUUCGUAACUAUUUAAAAAUUUGUAGAGUCCACCAUAUUUCUCAUUUUUCUUUCGUUCAUAAUAAAUUAAAACAGCAAGUUUGAGUAGACAUAUAUAUUCGAUUGAAAAUAAUGAACAAAGGAUAUAUAACAUAUUUUAGAAAGAAACAAUCUUUCUUUAUAAAAUGUACUUUAGUGUUGCCGUAAUUGACCCGUAACUAUGAAUAACCGCUUACGCUUGAAGAAAGUCCAGGGUGUACAUUCAUAAAAAGAUAAAGCUAAAAUUAGACUUAAAGCGAAAGAAACGCAACUAGUAAUCCCAAUGUAAUAUUUAAUCGUUGUUUCAAUAAACACCCAUUACGUUUAAUUGGUCAUUUACUGCACUUAAUAUAUAAUAUUGAAUAAAGGAUAAUAUUAUUUCCACUUCUUUCGCCUUAUUGGCUUAUUGAUUUGCUUCGGCAUCUCCCACAGUGGCAUCAUCCUAAAGUAAAAGUGAAUGAAUGAAUGAAUUAAUGAAUACCUGAAUUACGCUUGAUUAUAAGAGAAAGGGAUAUAACAUUCCAAACUAUACUCACGAGCAUCUCCAAAGUAAAUGGUCUUUUAUAGUUGUUCUAAACACAAAUUACCAUAUGUUUAACCAAAUUUAUUACAGAGGAUGCUACGCACUUUCUCAAAACAGUAUAAUUUUAUGACAUAAUGGUGCAGUACAACGUCAAUGAAUUGAUCAUUGCGUUAGAUAUGGAGUGCUAAAAAUUUACCGUGUUCAAAUAUAACUUUGAAAUCAGAAAAUUAUAAAGAAAUUAAGAUAUCUGGCAAUAAAUUAAAAAAUUCUUAAACAACCUACCAAUUUCCUCCAACUAAGCCUUUAUUAUUUUUCCAUAGCUAUACCUAUGAAAAAAUAAUAAGAAGAAAACAAUAAUAACUAAUUCUUUACAAAACAAACAACUGAGCGAGAACUAGGGAGGAGUAUUUUCCAGUCUCAUUUUUAUUGCUCAGCUCUGAUUGCAUUCAAGCAUCACAAAUGUUUUUUAUCUGUAAUGAAAGUUUGUUGUGUGAUUUUAUAUGAGUUUAAAAAUGAUAUUAUGUCGCACAAAGAAAAGUUUGUGGACUUAAUUGUUGUUGGUAUUAUGUGGAGACACAAACAUGUGUUUAAGCGGGAAUAAAAGUUUACACGUUACUAAUGUUCAAAGUUAAUCUAAAGUGUUAAAAAAAUGUGCUCCUGACCAAUAAUCCUUAAAAUUCCCUAAUUUGAUACCUGAAUUUAGAGUACGUAUGCAAAGAAAGAUAAAGCUAAAUAAAGGGAUUAGUGCUUUAUAUAAACCGGUUGUCUUGGGUGGAUCAUUAGAAAUGCAAA